ACAUGAGCCUAUUUAUGUAACCUCAUCUGUGAUGGUCUGCAGCUGGGAGCAACCAGAUCAGUGUCAGUCCCUAUGCAGCCAUUGGCUGGGAGCCUGCAUGUUACCUGGAAUGAUAUUUGAAACAUGUCACCCUAGCCGUGCCUUCUCUGUGGGCUGGGAGGCGAGUCAGUCAGAAUCUGCAAUGUGGAAUGUUUUGGAUGACAAGCUUGUAUUUGCAAAAGUACACACCCUGUGGAAGGUGCUCUGUACAUACGCUGAGAUACUGCACAUAAAUUUGCCUCUGAAGCCCAAUGAUCUGAAAACCCGGUCCUCAGCCUUUGAUAACUUCAGCUGUUUUAUGAAAGUCCUCUAAGUGGAUGAAAGUAUCAACAACCGGAGCAAGAGUUUUUCAUUGCCCUAUUUGAGAAGAGCUGCGUGAAUGACUUUUAUAUUCAGGAUAGAGAUACAUUCUUCAAUCCAACCACCAGAAGCUGCAUUUCACCUUAGUUCUGGAGUUCUGGAAGCGGCGCCAGGCAGAACUUGAGUACAAAUGGGACACGGUUGAGCAGGAAGGACAAGUCCGGCCAGAAUAGGAGGUGCGGUGUCCCCACGUGGAGAUAGAUGAGAUUACCCAGGAAAAGCAGGUGCUGUUUAGAUGCACUUUAGUCUAUUUACUUCUGGACUUGUCAGCCUUGGCUGCAUGUUGGAAUCACCAGGGGACCUUAAAAAAUGUUGGUGCCUGGAUUCCAUCACUGGAAACUCUGAUGGUACUUAGUGGCCUGGGGUGCAUUCUGGCAUAGGGAAGUUUAUAAAGCUCCUCUGGUUAUUCUAAUGUGCACCCAAGGUGAAGGAGCACUGCCUGGAAUGGUGGACACAGAAGAGAAGUGUGGUCCUUCCUUCAUAAUAUCAGUAAAA